rnacentral:rRNA from 1 species
AGUGAACGCUGGCGGUAGGCCUAACACAUGCAAGUCGAACGGCAGCACAGUAAGAGCUUGCUCUUACGGGUGGCGAGUGGCGGACGGGUGAGGAAUACAUCGGAAUCUACUUUUUCGUGGGGGAUAACGUAGGGAAACUUACGCUAAUACCGCAUACGACCUACGGGUGAAAGCAGGGGAUCUUCUGACCUUGCGCGAUUGAAUGAGCCGAUGUCGGAUUAGCUAGUUGGCGGGGUAAAGGCCCACCAAGGCGACGAUCCGUAGCUGGUCUGAGAGGAUGAUCAGCCACACUGGAACUGAAACACGCUCCAUACUCCUACGAGCAGCACCAGUGGGGAAUAUUGGACAAGGGGCGCAAACAUGAGCAAGCCAUAGCACGUGAGUGAAAAAAGCCUUCGGGUCGGAAAGACCUUUUGUUGGGAAAGAAAAGCAGCAGGUUGAUACCCCGCUGGUCUGACGGUACCCAGAGAAUAAGCACCGGCUAACUUCAUG